rnacentral:lncRNA from 1 species
GAAAAAGCCCUGUUCAUUUUCAUGUUCUCUUUCACAAAUGUAUUUUUCAUUUCAAGACAAUCUCUGAGUUUCGAAUCUUCGUUCGGUUCGAUCUCUGAGUUUCGAAUCUUCGUUCGGUUCGAUCGACUCAUCAAAAGGAACCGACUUCAAAGAACGAGUCAUAAUAUAAACAGACGUCCCAAUGCCUCGCUUUAUCACUGAUAUCCUGAAUUUACACUCAGACGAUUGAGUUCUGCCUCACGACGUUCAGUGAUGCACAUUCAUCCGGUCAGUCGUGUGAUGGAGGUCUCAUCUCCAGCAGUCCUCACAAAACACAGUUACAGAAGUUAAGUUGGACUCUACGAAACCAGAUGUUAAACCCAAAGUCCAAGCUUCCUCUGUUGCAACACAAGAACGUCACGAGAAACAAGCUUGUCCCUCUGCCAAUCCAGAUAACAAUUGGCGUGGCAUAUAAGGACAUGAAGCGCUCUGCAUCUGACGACACAACACGCAGUCCUGGAGCCUGUACUGGUCCGGCAAGGCCUUCUCUAUGUGGCAUGAUGGGAAUGAAACCGCACUGGUCGCUCCCAAAGCCAAACGCAUCUGGGUUUAUCUGGACCAGCAGACCGGCGUGCUGGCACUUUACAGACUCUCGCACAAUCAGCUCCAAGAAAUAUGCUGCGUUCACACGCAUUCCGACGGACCCCUCGUCCCCAGUUUCCACUUCUGGACUGGAGUCGGCGCCUCCAUCAUUAUCUGUGAGCUCAGCUAAAGAGGAAAGCAUGACUGUGAGAAAUACAUCUCGAGAGACUGGGAGAAAGUACUGAAAAAAGAUGAAGAACGCAUACGCCUUUAAAGCAAUCUAUAUCUGUUUACAACUUUACGAUGAAAAUAAAAUACUAAUACUAAUGCAUCAUAAGUGUGUCUUGUGUUUCUCUCUCCUUCAGUGAUUCUGCUUGUU